AGGACGAACGCUGGCGGCGUGCUUAACACAUGCAAGUCGAGCGGAAAGGCCCUUCGGGGUACUCGAGCGGCGAACGGGUGAGUAACACGUGAGCAAUCUGCCCUUAGCUUCGGGAUAGCUCCGGGAAACCGGAAUUAAUACCGAAUAUGACUUCGGCCGACAUCGGCCUUGGUGGAAAGUUUUUCGGCUAGGGAUGAACUCGCGGCCUAUCAGCUUGUUGGUGGGGUAAUGGCCUACCAAGGCGACGACGGGUAGCCGGCCUGAGAGGGCGACCGGCCACACUGGGACUGAGACACGGCCCAGACUCCUACGGGAGGCAGCAGUGGGAAUAUUGCGCAAUGGGCGAAAGCCUGACGCAGCGACGCCGCGUGGGGGAUGAAGGCCUUCGGGUUGUAACCCCUUUCAGCAGGGACGAAGCGAAAGUGACGGUACUGCAGAAGAAGCGCCGGCUAACUACGCGCCAGCAGCCGC
rnacentral:rRNA from 1 species